rnacentral:rRNA from 1 species
UACGGAGGGUGCAAGCGUUCUCCGGAUUCACUGGGUUUAAAGGGUGCGUAGGCGGGCAGGUAAGUCAGUGGUGAAAUCUCCGGGCUUAACCCGGAAACUGCCGUUGAUACUAUCUGUCUUGAAUAUCGUGGAGGUAAGCGGAAUAUGUCAUGUAGCGGUGAAAUGCUUAGAUAUGACAUAGAACACCCAUUGCGAAGGCAGCUUACUACACGAUCAUUGACGCUGAGGCACGAAAGCGUGGGGAGCAAACAGG